ACGGAAGGCAGCAGUGGGGAAUAUUGGACAAUGGGGGAAACCCUGAUCCAGCGACGCCGCGUGAGUGAAGAAGUAUUUCGGUAUGUAAAGCUCUAUCAGCAAGGAAGAAAAUGACGGUACUUGACUAAGAAGCUCCGGCUAAAUACGUGCCAGCAGCCGCGGUAAUACGUAUGGAGCAAGCGUUAUCCGGAUUUACUGGGUGUAAAGGGAGCGUAGACGGCAAAGCAAGUCUGAAGUGAAAUCCCGGGGCUCAACCCCGGAACUGCUUUGGAAACUGUUUAGCUAGAGUGCAGGAGAGGUAAGCGGAAUUCCUAGUGUAGCGGUGAAAUGCGUAGGUAUUAGGAGGAACACCAGUGGCGAAGGCGGCUUACUGGACUGUAACUGACGUUGAGGCUCGAAAACGUGGGGAGCAAACAGGAUUAGAUACCCUGGUA
rnacentral:rRNA from 1 species